rnacentral:rRNA from 1 species
UACGUAGGGCGCAAGCGUUGUCCGGAAUUAUUGGGCGUAAAGAGCUCGUAGGCGGCUUGUCACGUCGGGUGUGAAAGCCCGGGGCUUAACCCCGGGUCUGCAUUCGAUACGGGCUAGCUAGAGUGUGGUAGGGGAGAUCGGAAUUCCUGGUGUAGCGGUGAAAUGCGCAGAUAUCAGGAGGAACACCGGUGGCGAAGGCGGCAUCCUGGACCGACACUGACACUGAGGAGCGAAAGCCAGGGGAGCAAACGGG